rnacentral:rRNA from 1 species
CCCUUAGAUGUCCGGGGCCGCACGCGCGCUACACUGAAGGAAUCAGCGUGGCUCUGUCCCUGGUCCGAAAGGAUCGGGUAACCCGCUGAACCCCCUUCGUGGUAGGGAUCGGAGCUUGCAAUUAUUCUCCGUGAACCAGGAAUUCCCAGUAAGCGCAAGUCAUAAGCUUGCGUUGAUUACGUCCCUGCCCUUUGUACACACCGCCCGUCGCUACUACCGAUUGGACGUUUUAGUGAGGAUUUUGGACUGAGCCAAUGGUGGUUCACACCACUGUUGUGCAUGGAAAGAUCUCCAAACUUGAGCGUUUAGAGGAAGUAAAANUCGUAACA